GUGCUGUGAAGUGUUGGGUUAGUCCCGCAACGAGCGCACCCCUGUUUCUAGUUACCAGCACGUAAUGUGGGGACUCUAGAGAGACUGCCGGUGACAAACCGGAGGAAGGUGGGGAGUGACGUCAAGUCAUCAUGGCCCUUACUGUCCUGGGCUACACACGUGCUACAAUGGCCGGUACAGAGCGCAGCGAUACCGCGAGGUGGAGCAAAUCGCAGAAAGCCGGUCUCAGUACGGAUUGGAGUCUGAAACCCGACUUCAUGAAGGUGGAAUCGCUAGUAAUCGCGCAUCAGCAUGGCGCGGUGAAUACGUUCCCGGGCCUU
rnacentral:rRNA from 1 species